CUAUGCGCCUUGCCAGCCCGCUCAGGUGUGCCAGCCGCCGCGGUAAUACGUAGGGGCAAGCGUUAUCCGGAUUUACUGGGUGUAAAGGGGCGCAGACGGCCAUGGCAAGCCCGGUGUGAAAGGCAGGGGCAUAACCCCUGGACUGCACUGGGAACUGUCAGGCUGGAGUGCCGGAGGGGUAAGCGGAAUUCCUGGUGUAGCGGUGAAAUGCGUAGAUAUCAGGAGGAACACCGGUGGCGAAGGCGGCCUGCUGGACUGCAACUGACGUUGAGGCCCGAAAGCGUGGGGAGCAAACAGG
rnacentral:rRNA from 1 species